AUACAACAAAGGCAAGCUAGCAGUGAGAGUGAGCCUGUGAAAACAAUGAGCACUCCAAACUUAAAUAUAGUAAACUAAAUGCUCUUUUUUUUGUGAAAAUACAUACUUUCAGUCAAGUAUCUUUCCUGAUUUUUUUUUAAUAGGUGUGUCAGUGUAGACAAUCUAUGCAUAAUUUAUGAAGAAGGAUAUCCAUGUUCAUUUUUGUGUAUGACUCAAGGGGUUUUGUGGCCUUGAGGGCAAGAAGGUACCAGAUGCCAUAAAGUAUGGAAGCUGAUAAUAAAAACAAGGCUGAGAAAUUAAUGAGUAGACCAGAACGUGAGUUAUGGUCAUAUGAGAUAACAGAGCUGUUCCCAAUCUGCAGCUGAGGACUCAUCUGAUUGUUGCAGUAACAUUGGAACAACUUCUUCAAAACAAACAAGCACAGAAGAGGAUGUAGGAUGCAAU
rnacentral:lncRNA from 1 species